rnacentral:lncRNA from 1 species
GACGCAUCGGUGCUGGAGAGUUGAGAAUAUGCCUUCCCCUCCACCCUCAACCCAGUCACCUUAUUUGAAAAAAAAUUAAAAAACACCUUUUAUUUAAAAACCUAACCCUGGAAGUUUGCUCGGAAAAUGGAAAUCAACAUUUGAAACUUUUAAAUGGAAGCUUUAUUGGGUUUCCACAUAUGGAAAACUGCAAAUAGCAGAAGUAUGUGACUCAAUAAAUUAUUCUGGAGUGACCACAUCCUCUAACUGCCUCCCAGGACAAGAAGGAGAAUGUGAACAAUGCUCCUGAAGGCCCCUUUCCCUCAAAGAAUCACUGCAAUUGAAGGAAAAAUGCUCCAUGUCCCCUCUGCCAGUUGGUGUUUAUCAAAGGACAACGGAGGAAGAGAGACAAAGUGCCUGGAUGUGUGUGUUAAUCAAGAGUUGUCAGGACCCUGCCUCUAAAAGAAAGCGCUAAAAUGAUGCUUUUGACAAGACUUUUCUCAAAGUGGAUGCAGUCUAAGGGUUGGAAAACAAGGCCCAAUCAGGCUAGGUCUGACUUGUCGCCUGCUUUUGUAAAUAAAGUUUUAUUGGCUCACAG